AUUGAACGCUGGCGGCAGGCCUAUCACAUGCAAGCCGAGCGAGCGGCGGACGGGUGAGCAAUGUAUGGGGACUGCCCGAUAGAGGGGGAUAACUACUGGAAAUGGUCGCUAAUACCGCAUACUAUCGGAUAAUCCAUAUCGGAUUAGCUAGUAGGUGGGGUAAUGGCUCACCUAGACGACGAUCUCUAGCUGGUCUGAGAGGAUGAUCAGCCACACUGGGACGGAGACACGGCCCAGACUCCGACGGAGGCAGCAGGGGGGAAUAUUGCGCAAUGGGCGCUAGCCUGAUGCAGCCAUGCCGCGUGUAUGAAGAAGGCCUUAGGGUUGUAAAGUACUUUCAGCGGGUAGGCGUUACCCGCAGAAGAAGAACCGGCUAACUCCGUGCCAGCAGCCGCGGUAAUUC
rnacentral:rRNA from 1 species